GAUGAACGCUAGCGGCAGGCUUAACACAUGCAAGUCGAGGGGUAUUUAUCUUCGGAUAGAGAGACCGGCGCACGGGUGCGUAACGCGUAUGCAAUCUACCUUUUACAGAGGGAUAGCCCAGAGAAAUUUGGAUUAAUACCUCAUAGUAUAUAGACUCGGCAUCGAGAUUAUAUUAAAGUCACAACGGUAAAAGAUGAGCAUGCGUCCCAUUAGCUAGUUGGUAAGGUAACGGCUUACCAAGGCUACGAUGGGUAGGGGUCCUGAGAGGGAGAUCCCCCACACUGGUACUGAGACACGGACCAGACUCCUACGGGAGGCAGCAGUGAGGAAUAGUGGACAAUGGGCGCAAGCCUGAUCCAGCCAUGCCGCGUGCAGGAUGACGGUCCUAUGGAUUGUAAACUGCUUUUAUACGAGAAGAAACACUGCUACGUGUAGCAGCUUGACGGUAUCGUAAGAAUAAGGAGCGGCUAACUCCGUG
rnacentral:rRNA from 1 species